CAAACCAGAGCAAACAUACCAAAUCACAAUGCCCAGAGCAGGGUACCAGGUGCAGGACCUGCUGCUGCAGGAUGAGUGUGGACAGGCUCUCACUUUUCAGAGAAUCCUCCCCAUCCCUUCCAUACCAAGUCAGGAUUAGGGUUGCAGUCCUGAGGUUGAAGGUGCUGCUGUUGAUGGUCCAUGUCUCCUCCACAGGUUUUAUCAACAUCCUUCUUGAAUUGUGGGCACCAGAACUGGACUCAGUAUUCCUGCAGCGGUCACACCAGUCCAAAUACUGAGAGACAAUGACAAAGAAAACACUACAAAUAAGAUGGCAGAUUGAGGUCAUUUGACCUCCAGGCCUGAUGGGACUUGAGUCACAGGCUACAAAAGAACAGCUAAAGAAUCACAGUCUCCAUAAUGUCUAGCCUCUCCACUUUUUUUGUGAAAAGAGCCUGGGCAGGCUCCAGGCACCAGUCCAGCAAGCAGCUGCUUGUGGCGGCCAACAGUGAGGGGCGGCACAUCCGGGUCUUCAGCAGCAGCG